GGGGGUAUAGCUCAGUGGUAGAGCAUCUUUCGACUGCAGAUCGAGAGGUCCCCGGUUCAAUCUCGGGUGCCCCCU